UACGUAGGGGGCUAGCGUUGUCCGGAAUCAUUGGGCGUAAAGCGCGCGUAGGCGGCCCGGUAAGUCCGCUGUGAAAGUCCAGGGCUCAACCCUGGAAAGCCGGUGGAUACUGCCGGGCUAGAGUCCGGGAGAGGCGAGUGGAAUUCCUGGUGUAGCGGUGGAAUGCGCAGAUAUCAGGAGGAACACCUAAGGCGAAGGCAGCUCGCUGGGACGGUACUGACGCUGAGACGCGAAAGCGUGGGGAGCAAACGGG
rnacentral:rRNA from 1 species